rnacentral:rRNA from 1 species
AGGACGAACGCUGGCGGCGUGCUUAACACAUGCAAGUCGAGCGGUAAGGCCUUUCGGGGUACACGAGCGGCGAACGGGUGAGUAACACGUGGGUGAUCUGCCCUGCACUCUGGGAUAAGCCUGGGAAACUGGGUCUAAUACCGGAUAUGACCUGCUCUCGCAGUGGGGGUGGGUGGAAAGAUUUAUCGGUGCAGGAUGGGCCCGCGGCCUAUCAGCUUGUUGGUGGGGUAAUGGCCUACCAAGGCGACGACGGGUAGCCGACCUGAGAGGGUGACCGGCCACACUGGGACUGAGACACGGCCCAGACUCCUACGGGAGGCAGCAGUGGGAAUAUUGCACAAUGGGCGAAAGCCUGAUGCAGCGACGCCGCGUGAGGAUGAAGGCCUUACGGGUUGUAAACCUCUUUCAGCAGGACGAAGCGCAAGUGACGUACCUGCAGAAGAAGCACCGGACUAACUACGUGCCAGCAGCCGAC